rnacentral:rRNA from 1 species
AUACGAAAGGUGCAAGCGUUGUUCGGAUUUACUGGGCGUAAAGAGAGUGUAGGUGGUUUAUUAAGUCGGAUGUGAAAUCCCGGGGCUCAACCUCGGAACUGCAUUCGAUACUGAUAGGCUAGAGUUUGGGAGGGGUAAGCGGAAUUCCGUGUGUAGCUGUGAAAUGCGUAGAUAUACGGAGGAACACCUGAGGCGAAGGCGGCUUACUGGACCAAUACUGACACUGAGACUCGAAAGCGUGGGUAACAAACAGGAUUAGAAACCCCGGUAGUCC